rnacentral:rRNA from 1 species
CCUACGGGGGGCAGCAGUGGGGAAUAUUGGACAAUGGGCGAAAGCCUGAUCCAGCCAUGCCGCGUGUGUGAAGAAGGCCUUCGGGUUGUAAAGCACUUUCAGUGGGGAAGAAAGCCUUGGGGCUAAUACCCUCGAGGAAGGACAUCACCCACAGAAGAAGCACCGGCUAACUCCGUGCCAGCAGCCGCGGUAAUACGGAGGGUGCGUGCGUUAAUCGGAAUUACUGGGCGUAAAGCGCGCGUAGGCGGUCUGAUAAGCCGGUUGUGAAAGCCCCGGGCUCAACCUGGGAACGGCAUCCGGAACUGUCAGGCUAGAGUGCAGGAGAGGAAGGUAGAAUUCCCGGUGUAGCGGUGAAAUGCGUAGAGAUCGGGAGGAAUACCAGUGGCGAAGGCGGCCUUCUGGACUGACACUGACGCUGAGGUGCGAAAGCGUGGGUAGCAAACAGGAUUAGAUACCCCGGUAGUC